rnacentral:rRNA from 1 species
CCUACGGGCGGCUGCAGUGAGGAAUAUUGGUCAAUGGGCGGGAGCCUGAACCAGCCAAGCCGCGUGAGGGAAGAAGGUACAGCGUAUCGUAAACCUCUUUUGCACGGGGAUAACACCCUCCACUUGUGGAGGUCUGCAGGUACCGUGCGAAUAAGGGCCGGCUAAUUCCGUGCCAGCAGCCGCGGUAAUACGGAAGGCCCGAGCGUUAUCCGGAUUCAUUGGGCUUAAAGGGAGCGUAGGCGGGCGUUCAAGUCAGCUGUAAAAUCGCGCGGCUCAACCGCGCCCCGCAGUUGAAACUGGACGCCUUGAGUUCACAACAGGCAGGCGGAAUUCGUGGUGUAGCGGUGAAAUGCAUAGAUAUCACGAGGAACCCCGAUUGCGAAGGCAGCCUGCCGGGGUGCGACUGACGCUGAGGCUCGAAGGUGCGGGUAUCAAACAGGAUUAGAUACCCGAGUAGUC